rnacentral:lncRNA from 1 species
UUUGGAGCAUUGUUUUGAGUUUAAUUUUUCUCAAAUAUUAGAUAAUCAGUGGUUUUUUGUUGAAAUUGUUGAUGAAUGUUGCAUCCAUGGUUUGAUCUAUUAAUGUGCUUAUCAUAGCAUCCCCGAGUGAAGUCUAAGUAACCCGAGAGACAUGAAUGCUUGCCUUGCCCUAUGAUAGAUUGGGUGAUGCCAUUCUUAAGGGUAUAGGGUUAUUUGUGUUUAUAUUGGUGCCAUAAUUUCUUCAAGAGCUAAAUGGACGAUAUGUGAAGUUGUGAGGUAAGAAUUCCAUGAAGUGUAAUGAUAAUGUUGACUUGCAUUCACCUAAGUUUUUCUUUAAAUAUUUAGGAAGAGGCAAAAGUUCAAAAAUACUUUCAAAAUGGCAUUGGCAAGAAAUGAAAUGAUUUUGAGAAUAACCUAAAUUAUAGUUUUCUUUUUAAAAAGAAUCAAGGAUGUUUUUGAGCUUUGACAUGACUGAGACCAUUAAAUUUAAUUUUUGGCUCUCUCCUUACAACGAUGAGUCCUUGACUCGGAGUAACUUAUUCAGCUCAAAUUGCUCAAAUUCAUUGGGAGAUUAACUUUUUUCUCUAUUAGUAUGAUUCCAUGUGUGGUGAGAUUUUUGAAAUAAUUCUUGAACAUAUGUAUAGUCUAGAACUUUCCCCGAGUGUGGUCAAAGCAAAAUUCUAGACGAUCAUGGUUUGGAGGAUGACCCAAAGCUAUUUUUGACCUGUUACAUAGCCAAAUUCCAACCUUAAUAUUAAUCCUUAGUUAACUUCUUUGAGCCUUUUUGGCCUAUAUUGAUUUCUUUUUAUAAUGAUAACCUUACUAAAGCACCUAAACCCUUUUUAAAAUUUUCCUUUUGUCACUUAACCUCUUUUGAUGCACUGCAUUAUUCAAAGUAAUGAAAGAUAGGCAAAAGCCUAAGUUUAAAUAUAAGGGUUGGGGGUUGUGUAGUUUGUAUAGGAGAAUAAUAUUAGGGUGGUUCAAAAUCUAGGUUUGGGGGGGGGGGGGAUGAAUGUUAUGCACUAAGAUAAGCCAAGAAAAGUGAAUGUAAGGUGGUAAACUCAUAUGCUUAAAAGAUAAGAGAUUUUCUUAAUGAUAAAGUUUAAUAUCCUAGCCCAAAUAACUUGAAGAGAUAUUGGAUAAAUGAGGGGUUAAGAAGGGCUGAAAGUUAGAAAGUCUAUUGAAAAGUCAAAAAGAAUUAAACAGAGAAAUUGAUGGCUUUGAAUUAUUUGGUAAAGGCUAGUAAAAAAGGUAGGGAAAUAUGGGAAAUGAUUUGAAAAUGAAUAAGGUGGAUAGUUUGAAAAUUUUAGCUGUAGAAAGGGUUGAAAGAUUGCAUUGAAAGAUGUUGUUUAGUCACUUGAUUCAUAUAUAUUACAUCCUGAACCUUAAACCUUCAUCUUUACCUACAAGACCUUGGUGAUUCCAAAUUAGGUAAGUCUGUAUUAGUGUUGAAAAACACAAAGGGCAAGGCUAUGGUUCUACUCGUUGUGCUUGAAUUUAUUUGCGAGAGAGAGUAGGAAUUAUUUCAUUAUUUGACCUUUUUUAGAAGUUUCAAUGUCUUGUGUGUGUGAAGCGAACUCUUUAUUGUGAGUGGCAUCGAUACUUUUGGUAGAGGGUGAAGUCUUAAUGCCGGUUUGGGUAUAUGAGUAAGGUAUAUUGGGGUUAUGCUUGAAUAGGUUGUGAUUAGUUCAUGGGUUUUGUUUAUUUGUCUUGCUAAUUAGCUAUUUGAUAUGGGUUUUGCAUUGAUUCCAUGUUUUAACUAAGAAUUAGGGAUUGAAAAUCCUAAUUACCUUAGAAUCCAUAACAUUCUUGACAAAGUAGAUAUGGGUGAGGAAUAGGUGCGAAUAAUAGCUUGAAUUAGUUCAUUUAAUAACAUCUCUUAGAUAUAAGGAUGUUUCUUAAGGCAAUAUAUUGGUGAAAUUAUUACACUUAUGAGGUGUUCGACAUAAACCAUUUGUUAUACUUGGUAUUUUAUUGUCAACUUGACACCAAAGCUUCAACAUCAAGCCUACCCAUGACUUCUAGCUAAAUUUGGACAAAUAAUAAAACACCUAUUCAUGAACCCACACUUAGGAAGGAAUAACCCCAAGUCUCAUCAACACUUGAUUAAUCUCUAAUUUUUCUAGCUUCAAAAUAGUAGUCUUAAAACAAUAAAAUUGUUAAAUUUAGAAUCAUUCAAAAAAACCCCAUUUUUACUUCCAUGUUUGUAUAACACACAUUACGGGUCAACUUAUAGUUGACUUCUAACACUCUCGAGUAUUGAAACCCUUGUCUUAAUUCCAUGUGGAUUCAAUCCCAACCUGUGUUGGGUUACUAUUCUGAUGACAAUUGCUUACACCUCGAAGGUAUAUUUUAAGCAUCAUCAUGGAGGCUCAGGGUGUGCAAGGGGUAUCGUAGUACAGACUUAGCACGAUGUAGAGGCAGUGAUCCUUAAAGCUACAUGAUGCAGUGUGGGGCUACCUCAUGACCUCAAAUAAGCAUCGGCAGUGCUUAUUUUUGCCCAAAAACUUACAAAAAUUUCACUUUAUUCAUCUCCAAGGAUUUACCCUAAUUAUUUGAGAUCCAUAGCACUCUAAAUUACCUAUAAAACAAGCAAAAACUACUUAGGAGGGAGGGUUGCAUCCCACUAAGAGCCAUAGUUUUUAUCGUGGUUCGACAUUUCUUUUUGUAAUUUUACUUUCCUUAUUUUUUUUACAAAUAAAUGACCUAUAUUAUUACAUUAAAAUCAUAGGUUGCGCCUUAUGUAGCACCUGAUUUAACUUUGCAUAACGACUCAGCUCAUAAUCACUCAUUAGAAAGUUGCCAUAAUGUCCUUUGUCUAUCCUCAUCUUCACCCCAGUUGUGUUUCACUCUCUACCCAUUCAUUAAAAAUGUCUUUCUUUUUUCCUUAUCAAUUAGUUAAAUAACCACAUGGUAUUCAUCCUUACUACUUUGAAUGGUCCAUACUAGUAAGCUUACCGUGCAACAACUUGCAUCUCAAAUUGAACACCAACACUCUUUGUAUUGGCUAAAAUGACUAGGGAACUAUAUGCUUUUAAUUUAUGUGCCACGGGUUCAUGGCACUUUUGAUGCUUAAAAUGAUGAAAAUAUGCAAAUACUUAGGCUAUUUUGUCUAAUAUUAUUUGUAUUUUAUGUGUUUUGUUGGAUAAUUAGGUUGGAAGUGGCGUGGCAUAAAAUUGGAUAAAAAAUCCCUUAGAAUCAAAGUUCCUAAUUAGACUACAAGUCAUUGGGACUCAUAUCCCUAGUCGGGGUGAUGACAAUAAAGGAUGCUGACUGAAGGAUUAAAGUUGAGGCUUGUCGUGGUGAUGGUAAUGAAGGAUGCUAACUGAAGAAUUGAAGUUGAGGAUGACUAUGACAAGUUAGGAGUGAAAAUAAUUCAUGGUGUUAGUUUUUCUGAUCAAAUGAGAAAAAGUCAUGAAGAUAACCAAGUUGAAGCCCUAGUGGAUACGAAAAAAGACUAUGAUUUAUCACGACAAGGUAUGAAUCAUAGGGAGGAGUCGUUAUGAGAAUGGAGAGAAAUUACUGAAAGGUUAAAGUAUACAUGAUUUAUAAGUACAAACAACGACUCAAAGGAUCUAACGAUGUGUUGUCAUCACUGACUGAAGAAUAAAUGCAAUGGAGCUGACAAUGAGUCGUUGUCCGUCCAGACGACUUGUUGCCUAUGGCAUGGCCACUGCCAACUUAAUUUUCCCUUUUUUGUUUUUAUGAGAUUUACUUUGUUAUAUUGAGAAACUAUAAAUACCCUUGAUAUACUCUUGUAUUAGGUUGCACACUUUAUACCCUGACAAAUAUAUAUUCAUUUUAAGAUUGACCUUUGAUCUUGGAAUCCAUGUGUUCUUAGUUUUUUGUUGAGUAAUAAAUUUCAGACUUUG